rnacentral:rRNA from 1 species
UAGGGAAUUUUGCGCAAUGGGGGAAACCCUGACGCAGCGACGCCGCGUGAGUGAAGAAGGCCUUCGGGUUGUAAAGCUCUGUCAGAAGGGACGAAUAAGGGGUGCUCAAUAGGCAUACCCGAUGACGGUACCUUCAGAGGAAGCACCGGCUAACUCUGUGCCAGCAGCCGCGGUAAUACAGAGGGUGCAAGCGUUAUUCGGAAUUACUGGGCGUAAAGCGCAUGUAGGUGGGGUAUCAAGUCAGGUGUGAAAUCCCGGAGCUUAACUUCGGAAUUGCGCUUGAAACUGAUACUCUUGAGUAUGGGAGAGGAUAGUAGAAUUCCUGGUGUAGAGGUGAAAUUCGUAGAUAUCAGGAGGAAUACCUGAGGCGAAGGCGGCUAUCUGGCCCAAAACUGACACUCAGAUGCGAGAGCGUGGGUAGCAAACAGG